AGUUGAACACUUCAUGACUGAGAGCUGUCCUUCAUGACAACAGAACCCACAACAACGAUGACUUUUAUCACCAUUUUUAUCUGGACACUUGCUUUCUGCUUCAAGGAAUCUAGAGGACAAAUCACAGUGACUCAGACACCUACAGUGAAAACUGUUCUUGCCGGACAGCCAGUCUCUAUGAACUGUAAAGCCAGCAGUGAUGUGUAUCCUGAUUGUUGGAGUUCAGGUAAACCAUGUUUAGCCUGGUAUCAACAGAAACCUGGAGAAACUCCUAAACUACUGGUCUACUAUGGAAGCACCCUCUUCUCUGGGACUCCAUCUAGAUUCAGUGGCAGUGGAUCUGGGAGUGACUUCACUCUGACCAUCAGUGGAGUCCAGGCUGAAGAUGCAGGAGAUUACUACUGUCAGAGUUUCCACAGUGGUCCAGUGUUCACACAGUGAUACAGAGUCGUACUAAAACCUCCCUCAGUCAGACUGCACAGUGACUGUACUGAUACAGCUGGGACCUACUGCAGGUGAUGAGGGGAAGAAACAGUGACAUGGAACACUGAUCAGUAGAUGCGGUCAACUGUGGCAUGACAAUAUGGUUAGAUAGCAAUCAUUCUAUCAAGGCGAGACCCAGAUGUAGACACAAGAGGCAGAUGGUUGGAGUCUUACA